rnacentral:rRNA from 1 species
AUUGACUUGGACAAUAAAAUAAUUAUUUUAUGAUCUGAUCUCAAA